ACCAGUGCUGAUCUGAGGAGAUGAUAGGAAGACGAGUGUGCUUGACUCCAUACUGACUGGUUUUCUUUAAAUCCUUCUGACUCUGCAAUAAUUUAGAAUAUGAUGUUAAAUGAUGAAGAACAAAUAACUGAUAUUAUUGGAGUAGUUCACACUGUACCAGGCAUAUGUACAUCAUUUAACUAAUUUGACCCUCUCACCCACCCUUUAAGGUAAAAAUCGGUAGCAAAUUCACUCAGAUUCAGAAGGAAGAACAGAAGCUUCAUCUCUCAAUGAGAGGAUUGCCCUAUCAGUACUUCCAAAAGUGAAAAUGGGAACUGCAUUAAAAGACAAAAAUUGCCACAGCCACUCCAACCUUUAGCAACCACCACCCUGGUCAGUGAGCAGCCAACCAUUGAAGGUAGGACCCUUAAGCAAAACCGUUAUGAAUAACUGAAGGCUCGGAUGACUGUUACCAUAUUUAAAUUAAUGUAUGUACUGGUUUUUACAGAUUUAAUGCUAUUGCACACUUCAUAUACUACAGUAUAAUGUAAACAUAACUUUUUACUUUAUUUGAACUUUUAGGUUCAGGGGUAUAUUUGCAGGUUUAUUAUAUAGGUAAAUUUCAUGUCAUGGAAAUUUGGUGUACAUAUUAUUUCGUCACCUGGGUGAUAAGUAUACUACCUGAUGGGUAGUUUUUCAAUCCUCAUCCUCCUCCCUCCCUCCCUCCACCCACAAGUAAGCCCCAGUGUCUGUUGUUCCCUUCUUUGUGUCCAUAUGUAUUCAAUGUUUAACUCCCAUUUAUAAGUGAGAAAAUGCAGUACGUGGUUUCCUUUUCUUGUGUUAGUUCGCUUAGGUUAACGGCCUCCAGCUCCAUCCAUGUUGCUGCAAAGGAUAUGAUCUCGUUUUUUAUUAUAGCUGUGUAGUAUUCCAUGGUGUGUAUGUACCACAUUUUUUGAUCCAGUCUACCAUUGAUGGCAUUCAGGUUGAAUCCAUGUUUUUGCUAUUUUGAGUAGUCCUGCAAUGAACAUAUGCAUGCAUGUGUCUUUAUGGUAGAAUGAUUUAUAUUCCUUUGAAUAUAUGUCCAAUAAUGGGAUUGCUGGGUUGAAUUGUAUUUCUGAUUUGAGUUAUUUGAGAAAUCACCAUACUGCUUUCCACAAUGACUGAACAAAAUUCCCACUAGCAGUGUAUAAACGUUCCCUUUUCUCUGAAACCUCACUAGCAUCUGUUAUUUUUUUAUUUUUUAAUAAUAUCCAUUCUGACUAGUGUGAGAUGGUAUCUCAUUGUGGUUUUGAUUUAUAUUUCUCUAAUGAUUAGUGACCUUGAGCAUUUUUUCAUAUGAUUAUUGGCCACAUGCAUGUCUUCUUUGGAAAAGUGUCUUUUCGAGCCCUUUGCCCACUUUUUGAUGGGGUUGUUUGUUUCAUGUUUGUUGAUUUGUUUGUUUCUUAUAGAGUCUUGAUAUUAGACCUUUGUCAGAUCCAUACUUUGCAAAUAUUUUCUCCCAUUCUCUAGGUUGUCUAUUUACUCUGUUGAUAGUUUCUUUUGCUGUGCAGAAACUCUUUAGUGUAAUUAGGUCCCAUUUGUCCAUUUAUGUUUUUGUUGUAAUUGCUUUUGGCAUCUUUGUCAUGAAAUCUUUGCCAGGGCCUACGUCCGGAAUGGUAUUUCCUGGGUUUUCUUCCAGGGUUUUUGUAGUUUCAGGUUUUACAUGUAACUCUUUAAUCCAUCUUGAGUUAAUUUCUGUAUAUGAUGUAAGGUAGGAGUCCAGUUUCAGUCUUCUGCAUAUUGCUAGCCAGUUAUCCCAGGACAAUUUAUUAAAUUGUUCCUCUCCCAUUUGCUUAUUUUUAUCAGGUUUGUUGAAGAUCAGAUUGUUGUAGAUGUACAGCACUAUUUCUGGUCUCUCUAUUCUGUGUCAUUGGUGUAUGAGGCUGUUUUUGUACCAGUACCAUGCUUUUUUGGUUACUGCAGCCUUAGAGUGUAAUUUGAAUUUGGGUAAUGUGAUGCAUCUAGCUUUGUUCUUUUUGCUUAGGAUUGCCUUGACUGUUAGAGAACACAGGUCCUCUAUCAUAAACAACCCAAAAAAUUUGUGUGACUCACUCUAUUGAGAUAUUUGCUUUAUUGCAGUGGCCUGGAACUGAACUUCCAAUAUCUCUGAGGUAUGCCUGUAUUUAGAGGAAUGGGCAGGCUACUAACAUUCAAGUACCCUUCCAAAACCAUCAUUUUUGUAGAGUAUUGCUGAGAAAUGAGUUCAGGGUUAUACUCCAUAACAAUUACCUUCUGGAGAAUUAGUCUAUGUUGGCUGUGGAGCAGAUAGAUGGUUACUCUGGCCAUUGUUAAAGUGGAGGGAGUAAAAAGAUGAAGUAUAACUGCCAUUAUACACUGACAACAUGAUUGUGAAUUUAAAAAAUACAAAGAAAUUUACAAACUACAAGAACUAAUAAGUGAAUUCAGCCAGGUCACAGGAUACGAGAUGAGCUGUAUUUUUAUAAACUAGCAACAAACAAGUAUACAAUACAAGAUUUUUAAAUACUAUUUAUAAUUUCACUGAAACCAUAAAAUAUCUAAGAAUAAAAUUAAUAAACUAUAUGAAAGAAUUUUCCACAAACUAUAGACAAAAUGAACAUUGCUGAAAUAAAUCAAAGAUCUAAAUAAAUAGGAAAAUAUGCCAUGUUCAUAGAAUAAAAGACUCUAAACUGCUAGAUUGUAUUAGUCUGUUCUCAUACUGCCAUUAAGAAAUACCCGAGACUGGGUAAUUUAUAAAGAAAAGAGGUUUAAAUAACUCACAGUGUUAUAUGGCUGGGGAGGCCUAAGGAAACUUAAAAUCAUGGAAUAAGGGGAAGCAGGCAUGUCUUACAUGGCGGUAGGUGAGAGAAGAGAAAACUAAGGGGGAAGAGCACCUUAUAAAACCAUCAGAUCUCGUGAGAACUCACUCCCUAUCAUGAGAACAGCAUGAGGGAAACUGCCCCUAUUCCAGUCACCUUUCUCCCUUGACACAUGAGGAUCACAAUUUGAGAUGAGAUUUGGGUGGAGUCACAAAGCCCAGCCAUAUCAUAGAUGUAAAUUUUCCUCAAAUAAAGUCCAUGUAAUCCCAGCAGAUUUUUUGUUAAAGUAUUUAAGACAAUUCCAAAAGUUAUAUGAGAAGAUAAAAGACACAGAGAGGCUACAACCUAACCUCUUAUAACAAAUGUCUUAUAUUUUUGUAAGGGGAAAAGAUAUAUGAAAGGAACAGAAGAGAGUGCAGAAAUGGACCUCACAUACACAACCUCUUGAUUUACACCAGAAGCACCAAUGCACUUCAAAGGGAAAAUAAAUAUCUUCAAAAUAAAUGGUAUUGGAGCCAUGGGAUAUUCAUAAAAAAUUAUAAAUAAAUAAAUAAACCCUAUAUGCUCCUUUACAUUACACAGGGAAAUUAAGUUGACUUAACUGUAGUAGUUAAAAGUAUAAUUUUCCCAUAAAACAUAAAAGAAUAUCUUCAUGGAAUUAGAUUGACAAAGAUUUCUUAUACAAAGCAACAAAAUCCCUAGCUACGAAAAGAAAAAAUAACCUGGUAAAUUGUAAUUUACCCAACUUGUACAUUUUAUCAUCAAAAGAUACCAUUAAGAAAGUAAAAAUGUAAGCAUCAGACUGGGGAAAAUACAUAAUAGACAAAGAACUGCACAUGUAAUAUAUAUUAAACUUACAAUACGAAAAAGGACCAAAAAUGGCCAAAAGAGAAUAUCCCAAUGGACAAUAAACAUAUGAAAAUGCGCUUAAUAUAAUUAAUCAGGAAUAUAUUAAUUAAAAGCAUAAUAUACUACUAAACACCCAUCAAAAUGGCUCAAAGAUGUUUGGAUAGCAAAUGAGCAUAUUAAUAGAUGUGCAGUGCUAUUAGGAAAAUGCAAAACUAAAAUUACAAUGAGGUACCACUAUACACCUGUGAAAAUGGGUAAAAUUAAAAAGAUUGACCAUACCAAGUGUUGAUGAAGAUGUGGAAGAAUUGAAACUCUUAUACCACAAAUGGUGGAAAAAUAAAAUGUUACAACUACUUUAGAAUAUCAUUGGGCAGUUGCUAAAAACAUUAAACAUAUAUCUACAUUAUGACCCAGCUACUCUAAUUCUAGGUAUAUAAUGAAGAAAAAUAAGUAAAAUUGUUUGCAUAGUCAGUGGCAACAUAUAUUCUGGAUUACAUGAUUAUACACACACUUAUAUACAUUUGCUUGUACAUAGAAUAUCUCUGUAUUUACAUAAGGAACUGUUUUACUUCCCUGCAUAGGUAAGGGACUGACUGGGAGACUGGAUGGGAGAGGAAAUGUUUUUACACUGAAUAUCACUUACCAUAUUUGAAUUGUGUACUGUGUGCAUGUAUUACCCAUUUCAAAAAUGAACCAACUUUUUAUUUAUUAAAAGUCAAUCAGGUCUACUCCAGCACACAUAUUGAGUCCUAUUUGAUUAUGGUAUAUUGUUCUACUAUUUUAUUAUUAUUGCCAUUUAUCUGUUGCUGUUCAUAAUUUAUAAAUUAAAGUUUAUUAUAUGUAUGUAUAGGAAAAAAGUAUAUACAGGGCUUAGGACUAUCUGUGGUUUCAAGUACCCACUGGAGGUCUUAGAAUGUAUUUCCUGAAAAUAUGGGAGGAUUACUGUAAUUCGUAACAAAAAAAGCCAGUUAGCGCUAAAAUACAACAAUAGCAUUCUAUCAUUAACUUGCUGAGAAGCAAGGUCGAGUAAACCUGGAAUGAAGAUACUAGAUUCUAUGAUGUGACUGCCAUAAAUUUAGUUGCUGCACAUCUUCAACUAUGCUUCUUCCCACAAGUAUUUUUUGCAAGGUUCUCUUCCACCUGUUUCUUCAUCAAAGUUUAAUUUCUUUUUGUUUAAGAGCCCAAGGUAUCAUGUUUUGCUUUCUUUCUUUCUUUUUUUUUUUAAUUUUUGUUUGUAAUGUCUAUCUCUUCAAUACAAACAACUAGAAGUGUCAUGAUACAAUGAAUAUUUUUUAGACUAGACAAUCUCAGGCAUACAGCAGCAUACAGUUUAUAACCAUGACUAAAAUUAUCCUCAAAAAAGAAAACAAAAGAUAUUAACAUUGCCUUAAGCCACAGCUAUUUUUGUUAAUUUAUCACAAAUUACCCUUGCACAUUGCACUUGCAAGAAAUAAAUUAUUUUCCUUUGUUCAAUAUAUUUAUGACUGUGCUGAAUA
rnacentral:lncRNA from 1 species